AAGUCGUAACAAGGUUUCCGUAGGUGAACCUGCGGAAGGAUCAUUAUCACGUAUCCACGUAUCACCCCGGCGCACGCGUUACCCUGCUCCUACGACCAGCGUGUGAGCUUCGCAUCCGUUGCGAAGCGAACACCAGUAGGACACUCCUCAUACACACAUUUCACACACUUUUUGCUAGUUGACUUUUUUAAUGUUGAGCUUUGCCGUAAAAUUCAUUUUUUACCUUCGCUCACACGUUUAUCUAUUUAAACGCGAAAUACAACUCUUAGCAAUGGAUAUCUAGGUUCUC
rnacentral:misc_RNA from 1 species